GGUCCGGUUCAGCAGGGGUCUGAGCUCUCUCUGUGAGCACUGCAGGCCAGUGGAUGAUUAUUCACCAGCUUUCCUGGUAGGACCGCCCCCACACCUCACCUCCUCCUCUAGGGUGGGGUCUGAGUCAUGGGGACCACGGACCCCUGAACUGGACCCUUCAGCCCAGCCCAGCUCCCAGCCCUGGAGAGGCGAAGGUCAGGCACGCACAGACCUCUGUAACUGACCUGAAUGGGGACAAGUGUCCAUUCAUCAGUCUCCUGCUGAACACUUACCGUGUGCCAGGUCCCCUGCUGAGUGCUGCCACGUAUGCAUUGAUGCGACCCAGGCCCUGCACUUGGUGAAGAGAUGGCCAGACAAGGUGAGAUCAGUCUGGGGGGUGGGGUGGGGAGCCCGGGUCCACCGCACAUGCACAUUUCCUGUCUAGCAGGCAAGAGAAAUCUGGAGUGCAAUCAGAGGCUGCCUAAGAGGAAUGGAGAAGGUUCUGCAUUCUUGGAUUCAAC
ensembl:lncRNA